CUGGGCGGAUUAGUGGCGAACGGGUGAGUAACACGUGAGUAACCUGCCCCUGACUCUGGGAUAAGCGUUGGAAACGACGUCUAAUACUGGAUAUGAUCACCGGCCGCAUGGUCUGGUGGUGGAAAGAUUUUUUGGUUGGGGAUGGACUCGCGGCCUAUCAGCUUGUUGGUGAGGUAAUGGCUCACCAAGGCGACGACGGGUAGCCGGCCUGAGAGGGUGACCGGCCACACUGGGACUGAGACACGGCCCAGACUCCUACGGGAGGCAGCAGUGGGGAAUAUUGCACAAUGGGCGAAAGCCUGAUGCAGCAACGCCGCGUGAGGGAUGACGGCCUUCGGGUUGUAAACCUCUUUUAGUAGGGAAGAAGCGAAAGUGACGGUACCUGCAGAAAAAGCACCGGCUAACUACGUGCCAGCAGCCGCGGUAAUACGUAGGGUGCAAGCGUUGUCCGGAAUUAUUGGGCGUAAAGAGCUCGUAGGCGGUUUGUCGCGUCUGCUGUGAAAUCCCGAGGCUCAACCUCGGGCUUGCAGUGGGUACGGGCAGACUAGAG
rnacentral:rRNA from 1 species